rnacentral:lncRNA from 1 species
AUGGGCCAUAACCACGGUCUGCCCUUUGUCCGGAGAGAAAAAGGAAGGGAGAAAAAUCAGCUGAGUCUAGCGCUUCGGAUACUGUGCUGGGAUAUUUCACAGGUCACAGCAGAUGAGCAGCAGCCUGAGGGCCUGAAGAGUCCACUCCCCCAGAUGCCUCCUCCCCAGGGAACGGCCCCACCCCUGCGGAGGCCAGAAGAAGGGGCUCAGGCCAAGGCUAUGUGCCUCUUGAAUGAAGGGAUGGAUGGAUGGACGAAUGGAAAACGGGGAGAGGAGUCCUGUAGGAAGCCCUCUCGCUAACACAGAGGCCUGAUGGAUGAUGGGAAGCUCCUCCUCCUGCUGUUGAGAACUCCAGCCCGCACUUUGCCUCCAACCCGAUCUUGCAGGACCCAGCUCCCUUGCGUCCUGGCAUCAAACGUCUGUUUGAUCAGCUUUCCAUCCAUUUUCGGAAAAGGUGGUGAUUUGGGGUUGUUCUGAAUCUUGCAGGACUGUCCGUGCUGCUCCCUGGACAUGUAUUGAUGGAGCCCCAAGUCCGAUACUGGCCGGAUGCCCUGCUCUCUGACAACCCCUUCGUCCCCCCACGACCCCCCCGUGCCCCACCCCCACAGCUCCCAAAGCCCCUGGUUGUCUCCCCUUUACCAGAGCCACCAUGCAGGCCGCAGGGUCAGCUGAAAGCUCUUGGCUGAGAGGGUCCGGCUAGGCGACGGGUCUGUCCUCACUGGGUGGAGCUCUGCUGCCCCCUGGAGGUCGGAUGGGCGGGGCGGGCGGGGGGGGGGGAGGGGGGGAGGGACAGGGGGAGGGGGGGGGGGGGGGGG